GUGAGGAAUAUUGCGCAAUGGAGGCAACUCUGACGCAGCCAUGCCGCGUGCAGGAAGAAGGCGCUACGCGUUGUAAACUGCUUUUAACCGGGAAGAAACCCCAGGACGUGUCCUGGGUUGACGGUACCGGAGGAAUAAGCACCGGCUAACUUCGUGCCAGCAGCCGCGGUAAUACGAAGGGUGCAAGCGUUAUCCGGAUUCAUUGGGUUUAAAGGGUGCGUAGGCGGAGCGUUAAGUCAGAGGUGAAAUCCUGCAGCUUAACUGUAGACUUGCCAUUGAUACUGGCGCUCUUGAGUGCGCUUGAAGUGGGCGGAAUGUGCCGUGUAGCGGUGAAAUGCUUAGAUAUGGCACAGAACACCAAUUGCGAAGGCAGCUCACUAAGGCGAUACUGACGCUGAGGCACGAAAGCGUGGGGAUCGAACAGGAUUAGAAACCCCGGUAGUCC
rnacentral:rRNA from 1 species